rnacentral:rRNA from 1 species
UGGUGGAGUGAUUUGUCUGGUUAAUUCCGUUAACGAACGAGACCCCUGCCUGCUAAAUAGCCAAAUGAGUGAUUUUUCACUGAUUGUAGCUUCUUAGAGGGACGUGCAUUUUAUUAGAUGCAGGAGGAUAGGGGCAAUAACA